UUAAUGAUCCCAUGGAAGAUUGCCACGUCGACAAGAAUCCUGUAAUGAAUCAAAUUAACAAACAUUUCUGUAGGGUCUGUUCAAAGCAAUAGAGAGCCUGAUGUUGUGUUUGGCUUUCUUUUUUUUUUUUUUUCUUCAGAUAAGUGGUCCAUACAUCCCCUGCUCCUUUCUGAUUAGUCUAAUCCAGUGAGAAGUGCAUGCAGGGUUUUGAUUGAGUCAGCCGUCGGAGGACCCCAGGGGGGAACCCGCCUGAUAAGUGCCUUUACCUUUCACCUCCUGGAACCCCACGCACGUCAUUUUUUUUGCCGUAUCCCACUUCCUCUAAUCUCAUUUGGCCCAGGAAGACACGCUCAGGCACAAGACGCUCCUGAUUAACGUCCCAUUUACCGAGGGAUUCCAUCGGCUCGAACUGCCCUCAACCCGGGCUGCUGGAGGCGCAGCAUCAGCUAGCGCCGGAUAACAGAGCAGAGAGCGAGCGGGAGAAGAAAAGUAAGCAGAGGUUCAAGGCAUCAGGGGGAUUUCAGCUUUCCACAGGAGACCGACUCAGAAGAUAACAUUUGUUUAAUGUGAAGUUAAGCUGGAGCCGCUAUCAAACGCCAACCAAACAGAUUUUAACGGAUUGGUCCCUCACUGCUGUGAGAUCUAUGAACGUAGCUCUAUGACGUUUCCCAGUGGCCACAUUCAGUCAGGGGAAGAUCUAGCGUUCACGAUGGGACUGGCUGACACAAAGUCAAAGAAUGUUAACAGCGGGAUGUGAAAGAUUUUGAAGAAAGAGUCACUGAAGAACAAAAGAGCUCUCCGUUCUGAGUCAUGCAAAUGAAAAUGGGACAAGACAGAAGCCGUCCUCCACCACCACCAUCCUCUACAUGCUGAAGGCAGCUGGUAAGGUCCUCACGAUGCCAUUAAGACACAAAAACACUCAAUUAAUUUCAUUAUCUGAAGGUAUUCAACAAAUUUCAGUCCUCACAAAUUCUCUAGAAGCACGGUUUGGAGUGACAAAACCAGAGGCCGUCGAAAACAUUUUUGUGAAGUAAAGGAUGCUAUCAUUGUGCACGUAAGAGCCAUUACACCUCCCAGUGAAUGCACCGACGCGCUGAUGGAAGAGAAAGGCCCGACGGAGUUAGCAAAUAAACCGAUUCACUGCGAAGGGCUCAGUUAGAAAGAAGCGCUGUGUUUGAAAGCAUGCCAAAGAUUUCUUUUACCAAUAAAAGAAAAAUUUCUGGA